rnacentral:rRNA from 1 species
UGUUUCGGCUAGGGGGUCAUCCCGACUUACCAACCCGAUGCAAACUACGAAUACCGAAGAAUGUUAUCACGGGAGACACACGGCGGGUGCUAACGUCCGUCGUGAAGAGGGAAACAACCCAGACCGCCAGCUAAGGUCCCAAAGUCACAGUUAAGUGGGAAACGAUGUGGGAAGGCACAGACAGCCAGGAUGUUGGCUUAGAAGCAGCCAUCAUUUAAAGAAAGCGUAAUAGCUCACUGGUCGAGUCGGCCUGCGCGGAAGAUGUAACGGGGCUAAACUGUGCACCGAAGCUGCGGCAGCGACACUAUGUGUUGUUGGGUAGGGGAGCGUUCUGUAAGCCUGCGAAGGUGGCCUGUGAGGGUUGCUGGAGGUAUCAGAAGUGCGAAUGCUGACAUAAGUAACGAUAAUGCGGGUGAAAAGCCCGCACGCCGGAAGACCAAGGGUUCCUGUCCAACGUUAAUCGGGGCAGGGUGAGUCGACCCCUAAGGCGAGGCCGAAAGGCGUAGUCGAUGGGAAACAGGUUAAUAUUCCUGUACUUGGUGUUACUGCGAAGGGGGGACGGAGAAGGCUAUGUUAGCCGGGCGACGGUUGUCCCGGUUUAAGCAUGUAGGCGGAGGUUCCAGGUAAAUCCGGUACCUUUUUAACGCUGAGGUGUGAUGACGAGGCACUACGGUGCUGAAGUAACAAAUGCCCUGCUUCCAGGAAAAGCCUCUAAGCAUCAGGUAACAUUAAAUCGUACCCCAAACCGACACAGGUGGUCAGGUAGAGAAUACCAAGGCGCUUGAGAGAACUCGGGUGAAGGAACUAGGCAAAAUGGUGCCGUAACUUCGGGAGAAGGCACGCUGAUAUGUAGGUGAAGCCCCUGCGGGUGGAGCUGAAAUCAGUCGAAGAUACCAGCUGGCUGCAACUGUUUAUUAAAAACACAGCACUGUGCAAACACGAAAGUGGACGUAUACGGUGUGACGCCUGCCCGGUGCCGGAAGGUUAAUUGAUGGGGUUAUCCGUAAGGAGAAGCUCUUGAUCGAAGCCCCGGUAAACGGCGGCCGUAACUAUAACGGUCCUAAGGUAGCGAAAUUCCUUGUCGGGUAAGUUCCGACCUGCACGAAUGGCGUAAUGAUGGCCAGGCUGUCUCCACCCGAGACUCAGUGAAAUUGAACUCGCUGUGAAGAUGCAGUGUACCCGCGGCAAGACGGAAAGACCCCGUGAACCUUUACUAUAGCUUGACACUGAACAUUGAGCCUUGAUGUGUAGGAUAGGUGGGAGGCUUUGAAGCGUGGACGCCAGUCUGCGUGGAGCCAACCUUGAAAUACCACCCUUUAAUGUUUGAUGUUCUAACGUUGGCCCCUUAUCGGGGUUGCGGACAGUGUCUGGUGGGUAGUUUGACUGGGGCGGUCUCCUCCCAAAGAGUAACGGAGGAGCACGAAGGUUAGCUAAUCCUGGUCGGACAUCAGGAGGUUAGUGCAAUGGCAUAAGCUAGCUUGACUGCGAGCGUGACGGCGCGAGCAGGUGCGAAAGCAGGUCAUAGUGAUCCGGUGGUUCUGAAUGGAAGGGCCAUCGCUCAACGGAUAAAAGGUACUCCGGGGAUAACAGGCUGAUACCGCCCAAGAGUUCAUAUCGACGGCGGUGUUUGGCACCUCGAUGUCGGCUCAUCACAUCCUGGGGCUGAAGUAGGUCCCAAGGGUAUGGCUGUUCGCCAUUUAAAGUGGUACGCGAGCUGGGUUUAGAACGUCGUGAGACAGUUCGGUCCCUAUCUGCCGUGGGCGCUGGAGAAUUGAGGGGGGCUGCUCCUAGUACGAGAGGACCGGAGUGGACGCAUCACUGGUGUUCGGGUUGUCAUGCCAAUGGCAUUGCCCGGUAGCUAAAUGCGGAAGAGAUAAGUGCUGAAAGCAUCUAAGCACGAAACUUGC